GGUGACGGCCAUAACAGUGGGGUAACACCCGGUCUCAUUCCGAACCCGACGGUAAAGCUCACUGUGCCCUUCACGCGUACUGUCUUCCGCGAGGGGAUGGGAAAUGGGGGUCGCUGUCAUCA
rnacentral:rRNA from 1 species